ACACACAGCAAGGACAAAGAGACAAAAAUGAACAGAUUCAAACGCAGACAAAAAUAUUACAAACACAGACAACAGAAAAAAGUUACCCCUAAAAAGAACAGUGAAUAUGCAACAUACAGCAAGGACAAAGAGACAAAAAUAUUACAAACACAGACAACAGAAAAAAGUUACCCCUAAAAAGAACAGUGAAUAUACAACACGAGCAACACACAGCAAGAACAGAGACAAGAAUAAGAUAUCAUCAGGAAAUGGUAAUUAAAAUGACAGAUCUAGCGGACUUUCAAAGAGAUCAAAUUGUUGGUGCUCUGAUGGCAGGCGCUGGCGUAACGAAAGCAGCCGAAAUGUUUGUAUCAAGAAGUACUGUCUCGAAAGUAACAACA